UACGAAGGGGCUAGCGUUGCUCGGAAUCACUGGGCGUAAAGGGUGCGUAGGCGGGUCUUUUAAGUCAGGGUGAAAUCCUGGACUCAACUCCAGAACUGCCUUUGAUACUGAGGAUCUUGAGUUCGGGAGAGGUGAGUGGAACUGCGAAGUGUAGAGGUGAAAUUCGUAGAUAUUCGCAAGAACACCAGUGGCGAAGGCGGCUCACUGGCCCGAUACUGACGCUGAGGCACGGAAAGCGAUGGG
rnacentral:rRNA from 1 species